UAUCCAUGAUGUGGACAUAUGGUCAUCAGGUCCUUGAAUCUUUCCCAGCAAUCCUAGAAUGUCUCAUCACCUUUUUGCAUAAACUGACUGAUCUGCUCCUAUAGGUA